GUGGGGAAUCUUCCGCAAUGGACGAAAGUCUGACGGAGCAACGCCGCGUGAGUGAAGAAGGUUUUCGGAUCGUAAAGCUCUUUCGUUAGGGACGAACGUGCUCUUUGUGAAUAAUGAGGAGUAAUGACGGUACCUAAAUAAGAAGCCACGGCUAACUACGUGCCAGCAGCCGCGGUAAUACGUAGGUGGCAAGCGUUGUCCGGAAUUAUUGGGCGUAAAGCGCGCGCAGGCGGGAUAUCAAGUCUGUCUUAAAAGUGCGAGGCUCAACCUCGUGAGGGGACAGAAACUGGUAUUCUUGAGUGUCGGAGAGGAAAGUGGAAUUCCAAGUGUAGCAGUGAAAUGCGUAGAGAUUUGGAAGAACACCAGUGGCGAAGGCGACUUUCUGGACGAUGUCUGACGCUGAGGCGCGAAAGCUAGGGGAGCGAACGGGAUUAGAUACCCUGGUAGUCC
rnacentral:rRNA from 1 species